rnacentral:rRNA from 1 species
UACGUAGGGGGCAAGCGUUGUCCGGAAUCAUUGGGCGUAAAGCGCGUGUAGGCGGUUCGGUAAGUCUGCUGUGAAAGUCCAGGGCUCAACCCUGGGAUGCCGGUGGAUACUGUCGGGCUAGAGUGCGGUAGGGGAGAUUGGAAUUCCUGGUGUAGCGGUGGAAUGCGCAGAUAUCAGGAGGAACACCAAUGGCGAAGGCAGAUCUCUGGGCCGUAACUGACGCUGAGGAGCGAAAGCAUGGGGAGCGAACAGG